UGGGGAAUAUUGGACAAUGGGCGAAAGCCUGAUCCAGCCAUGCCGCGUGUGUGAAGAAGGUCUUCGGAUUGUAAAGCACUUUAAGUUGGGAGGAAGGGCAGUAAGCGAAUACCUUGCUGUUUUGACGUUACCGACAGAAUAAGCACCGGCUAACUCUGUGCCAGCAGCCGCGGUAAUACAGAGGGUGCAAGCGUUAAUCGGAAUUACUGGGCGUAAAGCGCGCGUAGGUGGUUCGUUAAGUUGAAUGUGAAAGCCCCGGGCUCAACCUGGGAACUGCAUCCAAAACUGGCGAGCUGGAGUAGGGCAGAGGGUGGUGGAAUUUCCUGUGUAGCAGUGAAAUGCGUGGAUAUAGGAGGGAACACCAGUGGCGAAAGCGACCACCUGGGCUCAUACUGACACUGAGGUGCGAAAGCGUGGGGAGCAAACAGG
rnacentral:rRNA from 1 species